GAUAUGCAGAGGCAAAAGCUCGUAAAUAUGGUCUGCUUGGUGGAGGUGCUGCUUUAGGCCCAGGCACUGGAUUAGCUGCAGGUAUUCCAGGUGUAUUACCAGGCACUGGUGUCAGAAUAGUUGGGGCAGGGGGUAUACCCUGGCAUGGAUUAAUGCACAGGCUUGCAUAGGCUGCAGCCUAGGGGCCCCACGUGUGCAGGGGGCCUCGGAUUGGCCAGACAUUUUUUUUUUACUUAAGCGCGAACCAGGCAUGGCACGGCGCAUCAUUCCAGUUUCCAGUUUGGAUGGGCCAGACAAAUUGUGAAUGUUAAAUUUAAAACGUUAUCCAAUCACUGUUUAACCUAAUAAAAAUUACUGACUAAUAUACUGUUAAAUUAUCUGUGAGUAUACAUAAUAUAGAUUUUAAUAGCUUGAUGCUCUUUAAAUAUUUUGUUGCAUUGUAAAAAGUUUCGGUGCAUAGGACGGACCUAUCCGCAAUCGCUUUCCAUGGUUCUGACCAAAGAAGAGCGCUUUGGAAUCUCCAUUACCCAUCAUACCUGGGCUGCGUUUCCCGAUAACGCUGUCUCUUAGUGCGCUAUGAAGACUCUUAAGGUAUAACUUAACUAAAGGUAUACUACCACUAAAGGUAUACCAUUGCUAGGUGUCUUCAGGGCUAUCAUCCACUUGCGAGGCAGAGGCGCUCUCCUAGCAACGGCACUGGUCGCGUUAGCACCCUGGGGUGGCAGAGACGAAGAUGUGCUAGGUGAUGUGGAUCUCAGCUCUCUUCAUCUCCUGGUUGCAGCGAUGACUCUGAGACUGUACGUGCGCGUUUAAGGAUACUCUGGGGCCAAAGCUCGCAAAUAUGGUAGGGGUAGGUUAAAUAAUCUACAAAGUUUAGUAUCCAUGUAGAAAAAUACAAAUUAUAAAUUAUAUUUUAUCUAUACAUUUUGAAAAAGGGGUUACUGGUGGAGCUGGGGGAACAGGUGGACCAAAGGCCCUAAAAUAUGGUAGGAUAUUUUAAACCAAUUUGUUCAUCAUCUCAUUUUUUCAUCCCCCUCAUUCAUUUUAAUCCAUAUGUAGGUCCUGGUGGUAGUGGAGGUGCUCCAGGACUUGGACUUGGCACAGGGGCAGGGCCAGUUGGUGGUUAUGGUCCAGGGACUGUAGGAGGUCCCGGGUCUGGAUUUGCAGGACCAGGACUUCCUGGUAGUGCUGUUGGAGCAGGAAGCAGAGGAGGGUUUGGGCCUGGUUAUGGAACAGGUGCUGGAGAUAAUUUAAACCAGAUAUGGACCUGGAUCAAAAGCAGUAAAUAUGGUUUACCUGGAUCUGGAGGUGUCUUUGGAGCAGGAGCUGUACCAGGAUUGGUAGGAGGUCCUGGCGGUAUGUGAAGCUGACAUGAAGCUGAUUUUUUUCUUUUUUCUGUUAAAGGGACAGUCCAUCAAAAAAAAUUAAAAUUUUGUCUCACCCUCAUGCGAGAAAUGUCUCAGUGCUGUUGAUUUGUUUUUGUUUUGUUUUGUUUUUUGGCCAUACUGUACAAUUAAAAUUAAAAUAAAAUAAAAUAAUUAAAAUAAAUAAAUAAAUAC
ensembl:lncRNA